UACGGAGGGUGCAAGCGUUGCCGGGAUUUACUGGGCGUAAAGCGCGCGUAGGCGGUUUAGUAAGUCUGGUGUGAAAUCACACGACUCAAUCGUGGAAGUGCAUUGGAUACUGCUAGACUGGAGUACAGGAGGGGUAGGCGGAAGUCCUGGUGUAGAGGUGAAAUUCGUAGAUAUCAGGAGGAACAACGGCGGCGAAGGCGGCCUACUGGACUGUUACUGACGCUGAGGCGCGAAAGCGUGGGGAGCAAACAGG
rnacentral:rRNA from 1 species